CUGACAUAUGUUUCUGAACAAACAGGUGGAUUGUGUGUGUAGCCUUUCUGCUCUGUGUAUUCUAGGCAGGUCUAUAUAGAUUUUGAUCAGAUUGAGGCUCAAAAUGCUGCCAUGGGUGUACGGCGACUCACGUUCCUACCUCAGGGUCAAAGUGAAGACAUCGGAUGGUAUUUCAAAGACAAUCUGAUAUUGGCGUGAAUACGGUUCUUUGGGUCCAGGUCAGGGCUCGUCCUCAGUCAGUAGUGGUGAUGUGGAACGACAGUACAUCCUCAGACCUCAGGGGACCUUCCACUUCACUGUGGGGAGCACCAGCUACACGUUAGACUUCACAGCUAUGACACAGACCAAUUCAGCCACCCGGGUACAGAGAACAGUCUGGCGUCCAAAGUUCAACUCCAUCGUCUCAGGGAAUGGCAGCUUAUCCAUUGCCCAAUCAGCCCCCACCGUAAUUGCCUCACCACCUCCCUCUGCUGGCUACACCUGGGAAUUCAUGGGCGAGGAGGGAGUGUGGAUAGAAUACCAGACUCCAGUGAGUGGGACAUUAUUUUAUUCCUUGAACCCUUGCAAAUAGCACACUACAUGACAGAUUGUAUAUUGUAUAUGCCCUCAUUAAGGUGAGAAAGGGGGAGGGAGACAGUCAUGGUAUAGCAGCAAAUAAUAUGUGGCUUUUUCCAGAGUUGCUCACUGGAGAGUGCUGGGAUUGAGAGACGCUACCAGAAGAACCCUAAGGGACAGAUACGCUUCAAAGCUGGGAGAUAUUCCUACACCCUCGACUUCUCAGGCAUGUGUCAGACCAACGUUGGCAUCGGGACCAAAAUAAUUG